CGGAACACGUACACAACCUUCCUUUAAGUGGGGAAUAGCCCAGAGAAAUUUGGAUUAAUACCCCGUAACAUUAUGAGAUGGCAUCAUUUUAUAAUUAUAGCUCCGGCGCUUGAAGAUGGGUGUGCGUCUGAUUAGGUAGUUGGCGGGGUAACGGCCCACCAAGCCUGCGAUCAGUAACUGGUGUGAGAGCACGACCAGUCACACGGGCACUGAGACACGGGCCCG
rnacentral:rRNA from 1 species